UAUCAGUAAUCAACGUUCGCAGCUACACAUCGAACGGGAGUCGGUUCUGCUUAAGUUUUCUCUGUUAUGUUGUCUGUAAUUUUGUGUGGCAAAACAUUUUUCAACUGAUAUUUUGUUGGGAAUUUAGUCACAACAUGAGCUUGUUGCACGUAUUUUGUGUGCUUGGAGUGGUUUUUAGUUUAAUUGGAUGUGGAAAAUUCGAAAGUAGAACUCCAACAUGGGGAAACAUUUCCGGUCAAUAUUUGUUCCAGGAUCGAGUGACCAAAAGUCGAAUUCCAUUUUUCACACGUUCCGCGACUAUUGAAUAUCCGGUGACGCAUCCUGACGACAAGAGUAAACCAGUCUAUCGGAUCCUUCGGGGAAUCGAACAUGUUAAUUUAGUGGAUAAGGAGGAAACCGGGUGUGGUGAACCAUUUGUCGAAAUUGUAGAAGGUGGACUCUACUAUCCGAAUGCGAAAAUCGAGGUAACCUCCGAACGAGGAUGUCCAUUAGAUUCAGUGGUUUACUUCUAUGGAUCCAGAUGAUCGAAAAAUUCAGAAAAUAAAAAUUUGGAAAAUGUUGAAAAUAAUGAAGUAAAAGAUUUUUGUUUUCAUCCAUCUGUUGAUCCAUCCACCUUUGAUCGAAAGAUUCAGUAAUUAUAUUGCUUGCUGUCUGUGAAAAGUUGACAAUGUUAGACAUCAAGUAUGAAUUGGGAUAUUUUGAACUGUACAGAGUGUGUUGAUUUACACCAAUUAGUCUGGUCUACACCAAAUUGGCAAAUGACUUCUCAAGACCAAAUGCUCCAGACAAGUCAAUAUGCACAAGCUGAGAAACUAGCUUGUGUGAACUCACAAUCAUUUACAUGCCAAUGAUAGUACUCACAGUGCCAAUAAACGAUCUGUGUUAGUUUAUAUGCGCUCUGAAGUUAAACGGAAUUCUUACGAGUAUGUGAAACCAGUUUUAUCAAUUAGUAAACAAAUUACUUCAUGAAAUGUUUUAUUCAACCUAAUCAACAGUGAUGCUGAUGUUGUGACUUUGAUUCAUUGAAAUAAAUAAGCUCAACAAAUAAACACAGUGUGCGACUGUCUACGUAAUGAUUUUUUGAUGAAAAUUUUCAGUUGGAGAUUCAACGCUUUAAUAGUAAAAGAAUCAAUUGCUUGGUUAACGCCCUUCGGUAACGUU